UACGUAGGCAGCAAGCGUUGUUCGGAAUUACUGGGCGUAAAGAGUGUGUAGGUGGUGUCGUAAGUUUGGUGUGAAAUCUCCCGGCUUAACUGGGAGGGUGCGCCCGAAGACUGCGAUGCUGGAGUAUGGGAGAGGAAAGCGGAAUUCCUGGUGUAGCGGUGAAAUGCGUAGAUAUCAGGAGGAACACCUGCGGUGUAGACGCUUUCUGGACCAUUACUGACACUGAGACACGAAAGCGUUGGGUAGCAAACAGG
rnacentral:rRNA from 1 species